rnacentral:misc_RNA from 1 species
GAUGAAGAACGCAGCGAAAUGCGAUACUUGGUGUGAAUUGCAGAAUCCCGUGAACCAUCGAGUCUUUGAACGCAAGUUGCGCCUCAAGCCAUUAGGUUGAGGGCACGUCUGCCUGGGCGUCACAUAUCGUUGCCUGAUGCCAGUUUCCUUGUGAUGGGUGACUGUGCAGGGCGAAUGAUGGCUUCCCGUGAGCAUUGUUGCCUCAUGGUUGGUUGAAAAUUGAGUCCUUGGUAGGGAGCGCCGUGAUAGAUGGUGGUUGAGUGACGAACGAGACCCAAUCAUGUGAGACCCCUACCGAAUUUGGCCUUCAUGACCCACAUGCGUCUUUGGAACGCUCAUGACGAGACCUCAGGUCAGGCGGGGCUACCCGCUGAGUUUAAGCAUAUCAUAGCGGAGGA